rnacentral:rRNA from 1 species
UACGUAGGCAGCAAGCGUUGUUCGGAAUUACUGGGCGUAAAGAGUGUGUAGGCGGUGCUCUAAGUCUGAUGUGAAAUCUCCCGGCUUAACUGGGAGGGUGCGCUAGAAACUGGAGUGCUUGAGGAUGGGAGAGGUAAGCGGAAUUCCUGGUGUAGCGGUGAAAUGCGUAGAUAUCAGGAGGAACACCUGUGGCGUAGACAGCUUACUGGACCAUUUCUGACGCUGAGACACGGAAGCGUGGGUAGCAAACAGG